rnacentral:rRNA from 1 species
UACGUAGGGUGCGAGCGUUGUCCGGAAUUACUGGGCGUAAAGAGCUCGUAGGUGGUUUGUCGCGUUGUUCGUGAAAUCUCACGGCUUAACUGUGAGCGUGCGGGCGAUACGGGCAGACUAGAGUACUGCAGGGGAGACUGGAAUUCCUGGUGUAGCGGUGAAAUGCGCAGAUAUCAGGAGGAACACCGGUGGCGAAGGCGGGUCUCUGGGCCGAUACUGACGCUGAGGAGCGAAAGCGUGGGGGAGCGAACAGG